CGUUCUGUUGCGUAGUUGGUUAACGCGCCUAGUCUCGCGUAUUGGAAGUCGUAGGAUCGAAGUCCACCAGAAUGA
rnacentral:tRNA from 1 species